AGAGCGAACGCUGGCGGCAGGCUUAACACAUGCAAGUCGAGCGGGCGUAGCAAUACGUCAGCGGCAGACGGGUGAGUAACGCGUGGGAACGUACCUUUUGGUUCGGAACAACACAGGGAAACUUGUGCUAAUACCGGAUAAGCCCUUACGGGGAAAGAUUUAUCGCCAAAAGAUCGGCCCGCGUCUGAUUAGCUAGUUGGUGAGGUAACGGCUCACCAAGGCGACGAUCAGUAGCUGGUCUGAGAGGAUGAUCAGCCACAUUGGGACUGAGACACGGCCCAAACUCCUACGGGAGGCAGCAGUGGGAAUAUUGGACAAUGGGCGCAAGCCUGAUCCAGCCAUGCCGCGUGAGUGAUGAAGGCCCUAGGGUUGUAAAGCUCUUUUGUGCGGGAAGAUAAUGACGGUACCGCAAGAUAAGCCCGGCUAACUUCGUGCCAGCAGCCGC
rnacentral:rRNA from 1 species